GCUCACCGUAGGUGCUGCCGCACAUGAGGGGGACCUCCUGCUAUGCACUGGGUUCCGGCUUCAAGAAGAGGGAUUCGUGGUAAGGAUUGCCAGCCUGGUGGUGCCUGGAUCCUACUCUCAGCUCACCCUUAAUUUGACCCAAGACAUUUUGCAAGCAAAUAAAUCCCUGUGGAGAUGCAUCAUGUACUGCUACCUCAUUACAAAGGCUCACUGCUCAACGCACAGCAAUUCAAUGGAGGAGGCUGCUUGAGGAAGCAUAUAUUUUCACUCUGAGAUAAGCUUACCAUCAUUUGUCCUCAAACUUUCCCCACUCCUGCCUAGUACCACCCUGAUGCAACAGUCUGCUUCUGCUCCUGCAAUGUCUACGAUCAAAUAUGUCAUGGAGAAGCCUCUGAGAUGUAAACAUGUUUCUUCUUCUCCUUGGAAAUCACUAGGUCAGCUGUACACUGUGAUGACACUCACAUAAGAAAGGGAAAAAUAUUUUCAUCUCAAAACAUCAAGCGCUGGAAAGAAGGGGUUUGAUUCUAAAACAUACUAUUUCUUCCUCUGCUGCUAUUAAGAGCCACUGUGGCCCUGCAUAUGGCCAGCUUUCAGCCCUGAUAGUGAUUUCUUUUCCUAAAGUCACCCGCAAGAAUAUCAGAAAUAGGAAUAAGACAUCCCAGCUCCAAAUCGUAUCUCUCAGUCAUACGGCCAUUGUCUCUCUCUUUUGCCUUUGCCAAUUUUACACUGUCCUGCUUAAAGCAAUGUUCAUGCUCUACAGCACCUCUCUCUUCCAAACAUAAAUCAAUAGAAGUCCCUGCUGAUUUAAAAAAUGAAGCAAAAAACUUUUUGAUAACUCCAACAAUUGCUCAUAAAGGACUAAAGUACUCUAGAAACCUGUACUGCAUUCGGUUUCUAGAACAGUAACUGUUUUAUCCAAAGUGCUCCGUUUCCCUUUGCUAUUUCAACCAGGAAAAGCCAAACUCUUAUUUUGCACUUUACUCAAGAGGGUAUCAAGGUCUACCAUUUCUAACAACAUGGGGAAAAUACAGAGAGGCAGUAUAUAACAACUAGCUCUAUGUAUGUAACAGCCAGACCUAUACUGUUGCAUAAACAUACUAUAUGAAAAUUUCUGGCAUGAGAGUGAUUACUGCAACAACGGCUUAUCUGCAUGAUAUUUGAUUGACUGAAAAGGAGCUAAACAGUGGUUUCUCUUUGGCAACCUCUCCUAUUUCCUUCUUGAAUGGUAGAGUAUUGAAAAAAAAGAGGAAAAGUCCCAUUUUUAGAUCCAGUGAGUACUUCCCGAUGCCCCAUUCUCGUGUCCCAGGCAGCUGGCACCCACUGAAGGUUCGAGGAAGAAGAGUGUCACCACUGCCAGGAAGGCUGACAGUCCGCAGCCCUGCAGCACACCACACAGCUCUGCAGCCACUGCACCAGAACCUCCCAGGUGGCAUGAGAUGCAAGAGGUACAAGGCAUAACUCAACUCCCCUCAAAAUCAAUAGCAAAACUUCUGCUAAAUUCAGAGAGAAAAAAUGAUUCUGAUUUCAAGCAGCACUGAAAUACAAGGUUCUGCCAGAUGUUACAUAAACGAUGAUGUAAUGCUGAAGUAUUUCAUUACACAUGCAGCUCUGUUCUUCAGCCCAACAGUGAUUUAUUACAUUUUGUCAAUCCUAUUUUAUGUACCCACAUCACUUUUACCUCAUUUUUCUUCAUGACAUUGUUACAUUGUCACAUAGGGACACAGAGGUAAUAUCAUAACAAUGCAGGCAAUGAAGUUAGCAUUUUACAAACAACGUUACUAAUAAAUAAGUAUACCAGUGAGGGGGAAAUGGUCUGUCUGAGAGAGUGAAAAACGAAUUUACCUUUGAAUAAUCUGAUGGGGGGAAGAGGCCGCAGGUCCAAUAAGAAAACUGAGUUUGUAUCCUCUCGGAGUAUCUUCUGCCUUCAUGCAGAAUGGUGAGGAAAUGCUGUUCUUGCCUCUUUUCAGUUUAAUCUCACAUUCUCUUUGUUUUCCUAAUGUGUUCUGUGUGCUGCCAGCUAGACCUCACACAAACAGCUGCUUGGUUGAAGAGAUUCAUCAGCAAGUGCAAGAAGAUCAAUGCUUAAAAUCUGUUUUGAGCGUGAAAUUAUCAAACCAUUGGAUAUACUACCGGUUUUCCCUGGUUUUCCAUCAAGGUUUGUUAGCAAAUCACACCAAGCAAUAUCUCUUCUUAUCAGGAGAAAAAGAAUUUCAGAAGAUAUAAGCUGAAAAGAUACGAAGGCUAUGUCAAACGAAUGCAGCAGGAUACUUAAAAGAUGCAUUCCUAAAGCAAUAUCAUUAAAGAAAAUAGCCCUUCUGGUGAGCAGGAUGCCAAAAACCCUGUUAGAUGGCUGAAAGAGAGAAGCCCUCUUUUCUAGUAGAUAGACAUUAACCUGCAUCAUGCAAAAUGUUGCAGUGAGAAGCUGCAGCUGAUAGCAAUUUAAAAUUGUCUUCUUUCAAGGAGCACAAGGCCAAAUUCUGCUUUUCUUAUGUCACUAGAAAAUCAAAGAAAUUUGCUCUUAUAAAUGGCAUGUCCCCCUUAGGAGUAUAAAAGGCAUUUCCCUGUUUUAUGUGGAGUCUCUGCAGGUUAGUAUUUGUUACUUAGUAGGUAAGGUGCAAGUCAGCAGAAGACUCAAGUACAUGCUUAAUUCUCAUUAAUUUCAGUGGUUAAGAACAUGUUUAGGGCUUUGGCUAAACAAAAGCUUCCCUCUCCUGUUCUUCAAUAUUUCCUUGGCCCCUAUUCCAAAGCCCAUUAAAAUUUGUCUCAGUACACCCACCAACUGCACUGCAUCUGAGAUGUCAUUGCCAGGCACUCAGUCUACUAUAAAACAUCAGCGUUUCACAGAGACGUGAUUCCGCACUUCAAAAAACAGCUAAGUGCUUCCCCAAUCUGGAUGUCAAAAACAAACAGUCCAGAAAGGAAACUGCUUUCUGCUCCAGGACAUCACUGAGUAACUAUC